GUAGGUGGCAAGCGUUGUCCGGAAUUAUUGGGCGUAAAGCGCGCGCAGGCGGUCCUUUAAGUCUGAUGUGAAAGCCCACGGGCUCAACCGUGGAGGGUCAUUGGAAACUGGGGGGACUUGAGUACAGAAGAGGAAAGCGGAAUUCCAAGUGUAGCGGUGAAAUGCGUAGAGAUUUGGAGGAACACCAGUGGCGAAGGCGGCUUUCUGGUCUGUAACUGACGCUGAGGCGCGAAAGCGUGGGGAGCAAACAGGAUUAGAUACCCUGGUAGUCCACGCCGUAAACGAUGAGUGCUAAGUGUUAGGGGGUUUCCGCCCCUUAGUGCUGCAGCUAACGCAUUAAGCACUCCGCCUGGGGAGUACGGCCGCAAAGGCUG
rnacentral:rRNA from 1 species